GUCGAUUAAGCCAUGCGAGUUAAAUGUUCUUCGUGAACAUAGCAGACUGCUCAGUAACACGUGGAUAACCUGCCCUUAGGACUGGCAUAACCCCGGGAAACUGGGGAUAAUUCCGGAUAGAUCAUAAAUGCUGGAAUGCUUUAUGAUUGAAAGGUUUCGACCGCCUUAGGAUGGAUCUGCGGCCUAUCAGGUUGUAGUGGGUGUAAUGUACCUACUAGCCUACGACGGGUACGGGUUGUGGAAGCAAGAGCCCGGAGAUGGAUUCUGAGACAUGAAUCCAGGCCCUACGGGGCGCAGCAGGCGCGAAAACUUUACAAUGCGGGAAACCGUGAUAAGGGAACACUGAGUGCUAGCAUUUAUGUUAGCUGUCCACAUGUGUAAAUAGCAUGUGAUAGCAAGGGCUGGGCAAGACCGGUGCCAGCCGCCGCGGUAACACCGGCAGCCCGAGUGGUGAUCACUAUUAUUGGGUCUAAAGGGUCCGUAGCCGGUUUAAUCAGUCUUCUGGGAAAUCUAAUCGCUUAACUAUUAGGCUUCCAGGGGAUACUGUUAGACUUGGGACCGGGAGAGGUAAGAGGUACUGCAGGGGUAGGAGUGAAAUCUUGUAAUCCCUGUGAGACCACCAGUGGCGAAGGCGUCUUACCAGAACGGGUCCGACGGUGAGGGACGAAAGCUGGGGGCACGAACCGGAUUAGAUACCCGGGUAGUCCCAGCUGUAAACGAUGCUCGUUAGGUGUCAGGAACGGUGCGACUGUUUCUGGUGCCGAAGGGAAGCCGUGAAACGAGCCACCUGGGAAGUACGGC
rnacentral:rRNA from 1 species